rnacentral:pre_miRNA from 1 species
GCCAAUAUGUUGCCUUUAUCUGCAUUUGCACCUGCGCUUUGCUUGGUUUCUCAAGAGCAAGUGAUUAUAUGUGGGAGUAGAGUGACCAAGCACAAGGUGCAGGUGCAUCUGCAGCUGAAUGCCAUAUUGGA